ncrna:Pseudomonas amygdali pv. aesculi str. 0893_23 narK RNA
GGCCCAUCUCUUGCUUUAGCAAUCGCACGGUAGCCAACGGCGGCUAUCACCUUUUUACGACAAAGACGUCGC